CAGCCAUGACAAAGAGACAGAUUCUUCGCUUGUAUAACAAGAGCAGGAGCUCCAUCACACCAGCAAUUUAUCACACCCUCGCCAUUCCUGGUACAGAACAUCACCCUCUAGCAUUCAGAUGAACAGGAACAUUCAACUGUGCUGUCCUUUACCUGGAGCCUCUCUACAAUAAAAGGCAAAGGGAAGCAGAGAAAGAAA